rnacentral:rRNA from 1 species
AUGGAUGGAAUGCUCGAAAUGUCCAUCUGCAACGAUGCGACGACAUCCAUUGAUAUAUGGAGGACGCAGGUCUAUGAAAGAGAGGCUUGGGCCUUGAAAUACCGGGUUGAAUUGCUGGUUGCAGAGUUUGGGAACUUUAGCAAACAUUGGUGGGUGGUGGUCGUCUCUUCAGACGGUGAUGUGCUUGUGCUAGUCAAAGUUGAUGACCGGCUACUUGAGAUUAACGUGGAUGGCAAGCUGGUUGCUAGUUUCCAUCGCAGAGGUCUUGGUCCUACUCGACAUCGGCUCAAACAAACUCUAGUUUCACAUACAUUGUUUCCGUUCCUAGAAGGUUACGUUGUGAACUCUUUGCCUUUCCUUUGA